AUUAGGCUUAAAGCGCCCGUAGCCGGUUUGGUGUGUGCACUGUGAAAUGUUAGGGCUCAACCCUAACGCGUGCAGUGUAUACUACCAGACUAGGGAGCGGGGGAGGGGGAAGGUACGUUCAGGCUAGCGGUAAAAUGCGUUGAACCUGAACGGACCACCAGUGGCGAAGGCGUUCCUCCAAAACGCGUCCGACGGUGAGGGGCGAAGGCUAGGGGAGCAAAAGGGAUUAGAUACCCCUGUAGUCCUAGCUGUAAAUGAUGCCCACUGCUCCUUACUGAUGCUCUGUGCAUUGGUAGGGGGUAAGCGAAAGCGUUAAGUGGGCCGCCUGGGAGUACGCCGCAGAUUCAAUCAUGGAAAGCGA
rnacentral:rRNA from 1 species